rnacentral:lncRNA from 1 species
UUUGGUCAUAAUAAAGUGGGAAACAUACUCCAUUUUUCCCAUAAAAGUUUCCAAAAUAAUCCACUGAAGGGGAAGACAAUGACCAGGAACUUCUCCAAAGUCAAGUAGGUCAGUAGCAGAACAGAGACUUCGGUGGACAGCAUGGCCAGGAACCCCAUGAGGCGGCACUGCACGCUCUCCAUCCACAGCAAGGCAUACUUCUGAUACUGCCCUCGGU